rnacentral:rRNA from 1 species
UUCGGCCUACGGGGGGCAGCAGUGAGGAAUAUUGGUCAAUGGUCGGGAGACUGAACCAGCCAAGCCGCGUGAGGGAUGAAGGUACAGAGUAUCGUAAACCUCUUUUGUCAGGGAACAAAGGCGGGGACGUGUCCCCGGAUGAGUGUACCUGAAGAAAAAGCAUCGGCUAACUCCGUGCCAGCAGCCGCGGUAAUACGGAGGGGGCAAGCGUUAUCCGGAUUUACUGGGUGUAAAGGGAGCGUAGACGGGCCAGCAAGUCUGAUGUGAAAACCCGGGGCCCAACCCCGGGAGUGCAUUGGAAACUG